rnacentral:rRNA from 1 species
GACGUAGGGCGCGAGCGUUGUCCGGAUUUAUUGGGCGUAAAGAGCUCGUAGGCGGCUUGUCGCGUCGAUCGUGAAAACUUGGGGCUCAACCCCAAGCCUGCGGUCGAUACGGGCAGGCUCGAGUUCGGUAGGGGAGACUGGAAUUCCUGGUGUAGCGGUGGAAUGCGCAGAUAUCAGGAGGAACACCGGUGGCGAAGGCGGGUCUCUGGGCAGUAACUGACGCUGAGGAGCGAAAGCGUGGGGAGCGAACAGG